rnacentral:lncRNA from 1 species
AUCAAAUAGCAGAGGAGCAAAUUCACCAACAGACUACUUGACAGGAACCAAAGUAGUAACAGAGCCCUGCUGACAGCUGUGUCUUUCCCAGUCCCACCUGUGUUCCAGGUAGAACUGGGACAUUUUCCAAAACAUCUUUCAAGAAAAGAGGUGAUAAAACUAUCGCACUGAGCAGGAAUCUUCAGUUUGAAAUGCUGCCACCAGCCCCAUCAAAAUUGGCUUCUGAUACAAAUGGCUCUGCCAUACAAAAUAAGGGAGCAAAAAGAAAAAAUAUUUGGAUCUCAGUCAAGUAAAUAUUGUAGUUUCCCAAAUCUACUGAAGUCCAGCACCCACUCAACUAUAAACUUUAACAGAAUUGUUUCUAAAUUCAAGAAGUACGGAGGCAGAAGUGAACAAGUAAAACAGAACACAAGGCUAUCACCACGUGGCUGUCACAGUGGAAAUCAGAGUAUGAUAAGUCUAAAUGGAGGUAAGAGAAGACACAAAUGACUUGCUUGGAAAUGGAAAGCUUGAAACACCUAAGCAGACCAUCAAGCUUUCCUGCAUGCCCAAACCUGGACAAAUGAAGAAAUUAACCCUUAAAUAAAAAUGCAUGGGCUGGAGUGGGGUGGGUUUGAAGGGAGGGCAGGGACAAGGGGAAAAAAUGAGAACCAAGACCGGUCCUGUAAAGGUACAAGAUCCCAAUAAUGAAUGUAACUGUACUGUAUACCUAAAACGCAC